CAGUAAGUAGUUUAUUUAAAAUAUAAGUUUUGGGAAUUUAAGAUAAGAAUUACUUUAAGUCUUUUUACUGA
rnacentral:tRNA from 1 species